rnacentral:rRNA from 1 species
UAGGGAAUAUUAGAAAUGGACGAAAGUCUGAUCUAGCAACACCGCGUGUGCGAAGAAGGCCUUCGGGUUGUAAAGCACUUUUUGGAAGGAUUAGGAAGGAAUGUACUUCCAGAAUAAGUCUCGGCUAACUACGUGCCAGCAGCCGCGGUAACACGUAGGAGGCAAACGUUAUCCGGAUUUACUGGGCGUAAAGCGCGUGUAGGUGGUUCUGUAAGUAGGGCGUGAAAGCUCCUGGCUCAACUGGGAGAGGCCGUUCUAAACUGCAGAGCUAGAGGAUGGUAGAGGGAGGUGGAAUUCCGGGUGUAGCGGUGGAAUGCGCAGAUAUCCGGAGGAACACCAGUGGCGAAGGCGGCCUCCUGGACCAUUCCUGACACUCAGACGCGAAAGCUAGGGGCACGAACC